UACGUAGGGUGCAAGCGUUGUCCGGAAUUAUUGGGCGUAAAGAGCUCGUAGGCGGUCUGUCGCGUCGGCUGUGAAAACUCGGGGCUCAACCCCGAGCCUGCAGUCGAUACGGGCAGACUAGAGUGCUGUAGGGGAGACUGGAAUUCCUGGUGUAGCGGUGAAAUGCGUAGAUAUCUGGAGGAACACCGGUGGCGAAGGCGGCAUCCUGGACCGGCAUUGACGCUGAGGAGCGAAAGCCAGGGGAGCAAACGGG
rnacentral:rRNA from 1 species